AUUUUUUAUGAUCUUCAGAGCAACAGUGGCUCCUCCCCUGUAAAACACAAUGAAUGAGAAAGAUAAACGGUUAAGGACCUGAGCCCUAGGACCAUGCCCCAGGUCUACCUGACAUGAUGACUCCUUGCUGUCCCCAGUUCACCUGGCCAUGCUGCUGUUCCAGUUUCAACUGACCUGAGCCCUAGGACCAUGCCCCAGGACUACCUGACAUGAUGACUCCUUGCUGUCCCCAGUCCACCUGACUGUGCUGCUGCUCCAGUUUCAACUGUUCUGCCUUAUUAUUAUUCGACCAUGCUGGUCAUUUACGAACAUUUUGGCCAUGUUCUGUUAUAAUCUCCACCCGGCACAGCCAGAAGAUGACUGGCCACCCCACAUAGCCUGGUUCCUCUCUAAGUUUCUUCCUAGGUUUUGGCCUUUCUAGGGAGUUUUUCCUAGCCACCGUGCUUCUACACCUGCAUUGCUUGCUGUUUGGGGUUUUAGGCUGGGUUUCUGUACAGCACUUUGAGAUAUCAGCUGAUGUACGAAGGGCUAUAUAAAUAAAUUUGAUUUGACCACUGGUACCACCCUAUAUUAGAGCAAAAGUCUGAAGAUAUACCCUACCUCAGUGGAUUUAGCUAGCGAUUAGUAAUAAAGGCUAGCCUAACAAAUGUUUUAGGCACAUUGACAGCUUGCGAAGACCCACUAACUAGCGUGUUGCACAGAGCACAAGCAAAUAGAAUAUCAAAAACUUGCACUUAUAUUAAGAAACAAAGUGGAAAGCUAGGGUUUGGAAAAAUCUGUUGACUGCAUGCUGUUCUUUGGUCAAUGCACGCAGAGUGAAUCUCUAGCACUAGGAACUGCCUGCUUGAGUAACAGGGGGCGGGACUACAUGUGUGUGGGGGAUUGAGAGGCGGCAAGAAGGAGAGAGAGAACACCGUCAAUUGAGCAAUAAAUCAAAAGUAUUGCGCAUGUCAAUGUCACAAUUUAGGUGCAGUCCUAACACACAAUACAUUAGGGAAUACCUUAUGGCACAAAGCUCUUAUUGGCUGAAGUGAGUCUUGUUAGAGGUUAAUCUACAUUAACCAAGAGUACUGUUGCUUGGAAACCUGGUGUCACAGGUUUGGUAGCUAAAAUAAGACUGACAGAUACACUUAAGAUUGAAAAAGCAGGUUUCAAAAGCAAUCUCUAAACAUGAUACAUUUGUCCAAUUCUAUAACUAUGAAAGUCCACCUUAUUUCAUAGAAGAAAACAAUUGUGAUGUGUAAAUUCUUGUCUUUUCAUGUUGAUUAUGCAACAUCUUAUGUUCCCAUAAUGACUUUUGUUUUUUUAUCACAUUUAAGUUCAAACUCACAUCAUGCUUCAGGGAGCCCAGGCAGGGACAUUAGCAUGGCACACAUUUGCAUGGGGUAUAAUUGCCCAGCCAGCUAAACUCACAGAGCCACACCACUCAUCCAUAAAUACAUGGGAGGGUGAUAUAGGCAGAGGCUGUGUCCCAAAUGGCACCUAAUUUCCUUUAUGGUGCACUACUUUUGACCAGGACCCACAAGGCUAUGAUCAAAAGUAGUACACUAGAUUAGCUAAUAGGCUGCCAUUUGGGACACACUCAGAGUUUACACAGAGGUCUAUAUCUCUAGCAGUUAUUUUUAAUGCAGAUACAUACCGGCGAUGGUCAAUACAUUGCAUCACCCUCCCAAAGGUGCCUUCCCCCAGAGUGCUGACAAUCUCAUCUGGAAGACAGAGAGAGAGAGGGAGAAAGCGGGAAAGAAGGGAAGAGAAGAAUUAGACAUGUGGACAGAAGCAGGGAAACCAAGGCAAAAAAGUUAGGCGUUUCAAUGCUAGCACCCAUUCCCCUUUUCAGGUUGUGGAUAAAUGGGAUGUCUAUAAAAAAAAUGUUUUUAAUUUUCCACAGUCCUAGAUAACCUAUGAUAAUUGGGGUCCACAUACUAA